CAGUAGCCGCGGGAAUACGAAGGGGGCUAGCGUUGUUCGGAUUUACUGGGCGUAAAGCGCACGUAGGCGGACUUUUAAGUCAGGGGUGAAAUCCCGGGGCUCAACCCCGGAACUGCCUUUGAUACUGGAAGUCUUGAGUAUGGUAGAGGCGAGUGGAAUUCCGAGUGUAGAGGUGAAAUUCGUAGAUAUUCGGAGGAACACCAGUGGCGAAGGCGGCUCACUGGACCAUUACUGACGCUGAGGUGCGAAAGCGUGGGGAGCAAACAGGAUUAGAUACCCCCGUAGUCCCUGUCUCUUAUAC
rnacentral:rRNA from 1 species